GACGAACGCUGGCGGCGUGCCUAAUACAUGCAAGUAGAACGCUGAAGAGAGGAGCUUGCUCUUCUUGGAUGAGUUGCGAACGGGUGAGUAACGCGUAGGUAACCUGCCUGGUAGCGGGGGAUAACUAUUGGAAACGAUAGCUAAUACCGCAUAAAAUGGAUUAUCGCAUGAUAAUCCAUUGAAAGGUGCAAAUGCAUCACUACCAGAUGGACCUGCGUUGUAUUAGCUAGUUGGUGGGGUAACGGCUCACCAAGGCGACGAUACAUAGCCGACCUGAGAGGGUGAUCGGCCACACUGGGACUGAGACACGGCCCAGACUCCUACGGGAGGCAGCAGUAGGGAAUCUUCGGCAAUGGACGGAAGUCUGACCGAGCAACGCCGCGUGAGUGAAGAAGGGUUUCGGAUCGUAAAGCUCGGUUGUAAGAGAAGAACGAGUGUGAGAGUGGAAAGUUCACACUGUGACGGUAUCUUACCAGAAAGGGACGGCUAACUACGUG
rnacentral:rRNA from 1 species